GCUUAACACAUGCAAGUCGAACGGAUCUUGCUGAUGCUUGCAUUGGUAAGGUUAGUGGCAGACGGGUGAGUAAUACAUGGGAAUCUGCCUUGUAGAGAGGGAUAACUAUUGGAAACGAUGGCUAAUACCUCAUAUUGCCGAGAGGUGAAAGAUUUAUCGCUACAAGAUGAGCCCAUGCAAGAUUAGCUUGUUGGUGAGGUAAU
rnacentral:rRNA from 1 species